UACGGAGGGUGCAAGCGUUGCUCGGAAUUAUUGGGCGUAAAGGGUAGGUAGGUGGUCUCAUUUGUCAGGGGUGAAAGCCUUGGGCUUAACCCAAGAAGUGCCCCUGAAACGGUGAGACUUGAGUUCUGGAGAGGGUCGUGGAAUUCCCGGUGUAGCGGUGAAAUGCGUAGAGAUCGGGAGGAACACCAGAGGCGAAGGCGGCGACCUGGACAGAUACUGACACUCAACUACGAAAGCGUGGGGAGCAAACAGG
rnacentral:rRNA from 1 species